UACGUAGGGUCCGAGCGUUGUCCGGAAUUACUGGGCGUAAAGAGCUCGUAGGUGGUUUGUCGCGUUGUCCGUGAAAACUCACAGCUCAACUGUGGGCGUGCGGGCGAUACGGGCAGACUGGAGUACUGCAGGGGAGACUGGAAUCCUGGUGUAGCGGUGGAAUGCGCAGAUAUCAGGAGGAACACCGGUGGCGAAGGCGGAUCUCUGGGCCGAUACUGACGCUGGAGGAAGCGAAAGCGUGGGGAGCGAACAGG
rnacentral:rRNA from 1 species